GGGCGGGAGUGGGCUAAUACAAUACCCGAAAGGGAAAUAUGCCCAGCAGUUGGUACGACUGUGUUUUAGCUCCCGCCCGACCUUCC
rnacentral:ncRNA from 1 species